GUAAUUUCAUAUAAAUUCAUUAUUUAAGUGUAUGUGAAAACUCAUGUAAAAUGUCGUUACAUAUAGUACUAUUAUAGUUAGUAUUAUUGUACAAUCUUUUCCUGAAAUCCUGAAAUGCCUCUUUUGUCUAUUUCUAUCUGCAAAUAUAUCUAGGACAAGGAAAUGUGUCAUUAAGCUCUGUCCUUUUUUUUUUUUGUCCUUUUUGUUAUCGUCGUUACUGUGAUGUUUCGAUCACACACAGUUACUAUUAUUUAGAUUACAAAAUGAAAACAGCUUUAUCACCAUUCUUAUGAACUACCUUCUGUUCAAUACUACCUCCUUGAGUAUUUAUUUAUCCUGCAGGUUUGAGGAUUUGUUUCACCCAACCCUUGUUCGUGGGCAACCUGGUGUUUCAACAUCGCAAGUAAACAUGUGUGUGCACAAUUUCUUUUAAGAUGUGUUUUUAGACUUUAAGCAGUUCAGAAAAGGCCACGUUUCUAUUAAAGGUGGCAGGUCUCUGGGUUAACGAAACCUAUGAGUACUUAGAAGAACAUCUGUAAAUCAAAAUUUUGGUCAGACCAAAAUUGGGGAGGGAAGCUGGAGAAUUUCCUUUUAUAAAGAAAAAGGCAAGAUCAAACUCAAAAAGCUAACUGCACUCAGAAAAUGUUUAAUUUUUCUGUCUUCAGAAAUCACAGGAUACACCUACAGAGGCUUUGUGAUUUCAUCCAGUUCCCAUGUCACCUCCGAGAGCUGUUCUCAGAUGAUCAACAACCCACAGCUAAUAUUUACUAAGUGCUUGCUCUUGAUGUCGAGUGACUGGUGCUCAGUAGACACUGGUUUCCUCCCUUCCUUCCUGGCUGCUUUGAAGAGAAUAACAGAGGAGAUCACCAAAGCUUCCCAGACCGGAGUGAUUUUUUUAAAUACCAAAGAAGGACAAGGGCAGAAGGAAGAGCCUGGAAUCCUGGAGCCCAGAAAACCCAGUUCCAGGAGGCGAGGAACUCCUGGGAUGCAGUAGGAGCAUCUUUAGGAGGCAAGAAGCAGCGCGGCUCCUCAGGACUCGGAGGAAGAAGGAGAGAGGCUCCCAGCAGGACCCAGCAGGCCGGCUGGAGGCAGAGCUCCACAGCCACCUGCAGGAUGGGAGCUGGCUUGCAGGGCCAGGCUCUGCCAGAGCUUGGAGAGCAUCUGAGAAAGGAGUCAGCCCAGACGCUGAUUGCCAGUUAAGUCUACCUCCCGCAAGGGCAAGUGUACUUGGCCAGGAGACCAUGCCCUCCCAGCUCCUAAGGAUGAAUUUUCCAUCCUUGAAUUACUUUUCCUUCCCCCCCCCCCUUUUUUUUUAUUUAAAUAAGUAAGAUCCACCCUGUGUGUGGAGCCCAACACGGGUCUUGAAUUCCCAACCCUGACAUCAAGACCCGAGCUGAGAUCAAGAGUCGAACACUUAACCCACUGAGCCACCCAGGCACCCCUCCAAGGUUGACUUUCUGGUGUCAGCUGGAGGGGAGAACAUAUCCUUAUGUACAAUUCCUCCAGUCACUCCCAGUAGAAAGCUUUUCUGGGUUCUAUUUUUGCAGCCUUUGCCCUGCCCAGUUUUGGGGGACCACUCUAGAGUCCUUUAUAACCCCUGGUGUCACAGCAUGGGGUGGGGGCGGUGGUCCUGGGCUGACCUAGGCUCUCAGCAGCCCAGGCCAGCAGCGGGGAGGGGAUGGAACCGAGCUGGUGGGCCCGGGAGUGGGAAGUCAGGAGAAGAGCAGGCCAGAGCCCACGUCCUGGGGGUCCUGGGGAAGGAUGAGGGUCAGCGGAGAGGAGCAGAAUAAAUCAAAACCCUGUUUUUACGGGUACA
rnacentral:lncRNA from 12 species